UACGGGAGGCAGCAGUGGGGAAUAUUGCACAAUGGGCGAAAGCCUGAUGCAGCUAUGCCGCGUGUAUGAAGAAGGCCUUAGGGUUGUAAAGUACUUUCAUCGGGGAGGAAAAAACAAAACUAAUAAUUUUAUUUCUUGACGUUACCCGAAAAAGAAGCACCGGCUAACUCCGUGCCAGCAGCCGCGGUAAUACGGAGGGUGCUAGCGUUAAUCAGAAUUACUGGGCGUAAAGAGCACGUAGGUGGUUUUUUUAAAGUCAGAUGUGAAAUCCCUGGGCUUAACCUAGGAACUGCAUUUUGAAACUGAAAUACUAGAGUAUCGUAGAGGGAGGUAGAAUUCUAGGUGUAGCGGUUGAAAUGCGUAGAUAUCUGGAGGAAUACCUGUGGCGAAAGCGGCCUCCUAAACGAAUACUGACACUGAGGGUGCGAAAGCGUGGGGAGCAAACAGGGAUUAGGAUACC
rnacentral:rRNA from 1 species